rnacentral:rRNA from 1 species
UACAGAGGUCUCAAGCGUUGUUCGGAUUCAUUGGGCGUAAAGGGUGCGUAGGCGGCCUGUUAAGUCAGGGGUGAAAGACGGUAGCUCAACUAUCGCAGUGCCCUUGAUACUGAUGGGCUUGAAUGUACUAGAGGUAGGCGGAAAUGUGACAAGUAGCGGUGAAAUGCAUAGAUAUGUCACAGAACACCAAUUGCGAAGGCAGCUUACUAUGGUAUGAUUGACGCUGAGGCACGAAAGCGUGGGGAGUCAAACAGG